ACUUAAGUAGUUUAAGUAAAAUAUUGAUUUGUGGUGUCAAUGAUAUAUAAAUUAUAUCUUAAGUU
rnacentral:tRNA from 1 species